CGCCAAAGACGGUGAUAGCCCGGUAGACGAAGACGAUGUGCUGGACGUAGUGGAUUUCCUGAGUAACGCCCGACCCGAGUAAUCGGGCGUGAAUCUGGGGGGACCACCCUCCAAGCCUAAAGACUCCUAUGUGACCGAUAGUGGACGAGUACCGUGAGGGACAGGUGAAAAGCACCCCUGUGCGGGGAGUGAAAGAGAUCCUGAAACCACAU
rnacentral:rRNA from 1 species